rnacentral:snRNA from 1 species
GAAACAAUACAGGUAAGAUUAACAUGGCCCCUGGGUAAGGACGACAGGCAAAUUGGUGAAAGCAUUCCAUAUUUU